rnacentral:rRNA from 1 species
GACGAACGCUGGCGGCGUGCUUAACACAUGCCAGUCGAACGGUGAAGCGCCUUCCUUUUUGGUGGGUGUGGAUGAGUGGCGAACGGGUGAGUAACACGUGAGUAACCUGCCCCCUUCUUCUGGAUAACCGCAUGAAAGUGUGGCUAAUACGGGAUAUUCUGGGUCUGUCGCAUGAUGGGUCUGGGAAAGAUAUUGUUUCGGUGGGGGAUGGGCUCGCGGCCUAUCAGCUUGUUGGUGGGGUGAUGGCCUACCAAGGCGGUGACGGGUAGCCGGCCUGAGAGGGUGGACGGUCACACUGGGACUGAGACACGGCCCAGACUCCUACGGGAGGCAGCAGUGGGGAAUAUUGCACAAUGGGCGCAAGCCUGAUGCAGCGACGCCGCGUGAGGGAUGGAGGCCUUCGGGUUGUGAACCUCUUUCGCCAGUGAAGCAGGCCUGCCUCGUUUGUGGGUGGGUUGACGGUAGCUGGAUAGGAAGCGCCGGCUAACUACGUG